CCGCACCGCUGCCCCCCGUCCUGCUUUGCCCCGGCCCGACCCGUGUCGCUCUGCGCGGAGCCGGCCGCCCCGCGCCCCAGCCGGGAUGCAGAGGAGCCGGGAAGAAGCGGAGGGGCUCACGGCUCCCCGGCCCCGCUGCUUCGGGCCCCUAUCACCGGCACUUCCCGGGGGCCGCUGGCACGGCACGCGGAUAUCAGGUGGGGACGAGGGAGCAGCCGCGGGACCGGGGCCUUCCCGAUAACUGAUUUGCAUGGAUGCCAAUCUCUUCCUUCCUCUUUCCCUCACCGCUGGCCCUCUCUCACCUGCACCUGCCAGGCUGCUGGGGAUGCACGGCUCACACAGGGCCGUGCGGACCCGCGGUAGGAACUGGAUGCACCCGCAUUGGUGCUCCCAAAGCAGCUCCAUCUUCCUGCUCCAGGCUCAUCAGUCGUCGCUCCCUUUCAGGUCCCACAGAGUUCCUUUCUUGGCACCUUCACGCUGCCCAUCACUGACAGUUCCUCGCCAUCAGCACAUCCCAGUCCCUCCAUCUGUGUCCUAGGAACAGCUAACUGGGCAGUGCAGUCAGGACUGAGCUGGAAACAGAACCGCUCAGCACAGGACAUCCUCAGUCGUGCUGUCCUACUGCAGGGGACAGCAACCGAGCUGUGCAGGACACAGCACCCAUGUCUUCAUUCCUGCUCUCCUCAUGCCAUCAUCUUUCUGAUUUGGGAGAGGCAGAACACUUUCCAUAUACACCUCUGCACACAACUCCAGUGUUUCACUAAUGGCACCUCACAUCAGGGAGCAGUGCAAGCUGCAGUGUGUUUUCCCAUAUACAUUCCUUCCCCUCCCUGUAUCAGAUAGGACAGAUUUGGUAGCACCUUAAGCUGGAGGGACCCUGGCAUGGCUGACAGACAGAACUCCCCAGCAAUUCAUGCACAGCUGCCUUCAGGGAGCAGCAGGUCCAGCCAAACCCCUCUGUUCACCCCCUAAUGACGUUCCCUCCCUGUUCAACCCUGCAGGUGCCCUCUCCCAGGGACACUAAGCCUCCAUUAUGAUGAAUUCGGGUUAUCCCUCACUGUGAUUUCUUAACUGUUUUGGGGCCAGCUCCAGGGAAACAUCCUUGCUCAGGGCAGCACUUACACACGUUUGAAGGGACACACUUGCAUCACUCUUUCUGGAGACAAGGGUUCUCAUCUCACAGGGGAAUUCUCCUUGCUCUCACUGCCGCUUAUGCCGGAACUGUUCUUUUCCCAAAGUGGGUUUUGCCUCAUGUAAACACAAAACAUGUUUGCUUUCCAGAUAUAAUUUCACUCGGGCAUAGGAAUUCAUUGAGAAUUUGCGGUUUCAGUGGGUGAAAGUGAACAGAAGAGCCCCAGACAAGCAGAGUGCUUGCUGAGGGAUAUGGAGCACUGGGCAAGCACAGCCACCCGACCGGGGCUGCUCAGCUCUGCCACCACCACAGAGAUAAAUGAAUCACAUGGGAACAGCAGCACCUGCGAGGGAGCCGUGAGAGCUGGGGAGAGGUGAUGUUCCACGGCACAAAAUGCAAAAAGCUGUCAGUACCUCUGUCUGCAGGAUGGCUUCCUCCUCAGACCAAAGGGAUGAUCUGCAUAUUUUUGUCCCAAAUAAAAUGUGUGGAAGGUGAAGCUCCUGGAUGUGGGAACAGAGCCCAGCAGCGCAACAUGGGGAUCAAGAAGUUAGCAGGAAUACAGCAAACUCUAUAGCAAAACAGAGCUGCACCAACCCAGGAGUUCCACUGCAAGAGAGGUGCUCUCAGCCUUUGGGAGAGCUGUGCAGGAGCUCUGCCUGAUCCCACGCCUAAGGCCAGCUCCUUGCUCCCCCAGUUAGCAUGUAAGCAUUGGAGAAGAAACGGAGUUCCUCACAUGUCACCCACCCACCUAAAUCCCCCACGUCCUCGUAACUCUGCUCCCCUUGUUCCCAAUCCUAUCCUUUGCGUUCAGCACGGGGAUCAUAUGCAAACCUGAUGGGCACUGGGGGAGCAAUCCGCUGAAGGAGACAACCAAGAUUCAGCAUUCACACUCCUUUCAGUCGGAGUACAGCACCUGCCUACAGGACAAAUGCCACAGAGGAGGGCAGCAGUGACCUGAGUUGGGCAGCAGCUGCCCUUCAGCCACCUCUGAUGCAUGCUGCACCACCCCCACUGGCCCCAGCUCUAGUUUAGCUGCUCCCAUCACCUAACCCUACCUAAUUUCUAGCCGAUUUUAUGUAUAUCUUUUUAAGUAAAUUCCAGUCAUUGUGCACGGGGAGCAAAAAGACAGGCUGUAGGAGAGAAUGGAGUGUUGCCCCCAACUCACAGCAGGGAAGUGUGGGGGAAAGCAGCUGGGUCUGGGCUGCAGACUGGGCUGACUGAUCUCUGGCUGUUUGCCUAUACAGAGCACUGAGCAGAUACCAGUCUGGCAACUGCUGCCCAUGAGCUUGUCUCUGACAGUGCUGAAACCUUUUGGCUAAGUAGUCUUUAUUCUGGACAGUUGUGGGAUAAGUUAUCAGAGAGGAAUUUCCUUCUUAUCUUUGUUGGUUAGGCAUUGGCUUAGACUUUGAAGUAUAUAGGAUGCAUCUGCCUUUAUCUCCCCUGCUUUUCCCAGCAGGGGUGAGGAGAAGCACACAGAGUAUUCCCAAUAAAGGUGCAUCCCAGGCUCACUGAGUGCCAAUACAAUACCAUCUGGGUCAGCUCCCAUCCUGUUAUAACACCACCCCUGCAUGGUUCCCAGAUAUGAACCACUUAGAGCCUUUGGGGCCUUUGGUCUCCACUUCCUUGCAAUGUUUCGGGAGUGCCAGCACAGCUCACCCCAUGGCCACAUACCCUCAGCAUGAAAUGCCUUUGAGAUACCCCACUCACAACUUGUUUCAAUCCCAUGCUUUGCCAUGCUUCCUACAGCAGGAAGCACUGCAUAACUCCUAGCAGCUCCAGGAGCACGAUUCUCUUUGCAGAGGAAAGUGAGCUGCAGACCUCUCUGCUAUGCAGCUGAGCAGGUGGGUGUGCAGAGGGGACGUGCAGAAUGGCCAUUUCAGCAAUGUACCUGGGACUGAAAUAAGAUGUGUAUCUGCAGCUCUGCCCUCCUCUAUUUUUGCACACAGCUGCUGGUCUCUAUCAGUCACUGUUCCUGACGAACUGCUGCUUGAUCAGGGGCAUGCUGCUCUCAGACACAUCCACAUUUCCUUUAAUAACUUCCAUGGCCUAAGGGUGCCUCAUCUGGACCCAGAGCUGCACCGGUAGGGAGUUAUCUUGGUUUUCGGUUUAGGAAUUAUUUGAUUUCUUUGCAGCACCCUUACCUUCCUUAGCUGCCCUACUUUCCUCCAUGUUCUCAGUCAAUCUGUAAGCCCUCUCCUGGCUUCCUACUUCCAUCACGUUUAAAGGUCCUAUAAGUUUUACUGUGUUUUUGUGCUUUACAUUCUCUCCUUACCCACCAAGUUCUCACCUCCCAUGUUCCCUGCUGCCAUCUUUCCUGACUGACUGCUCUGAGGUUGGAUGCUCACUGUCUGAAGGAUACCUCUUUGCCUUGAAUAACUUCUCCCGCCUUGCUCCCUAAGCAGACGGUGGGCUUCCCUGCCUUCCUUUGGAGACUGCUGUCUGCUGCAGUGGCGUUAGUAGGGACAAUGAAAAAGCUCUCCUUUAUCCCCAAACCUUCCUUUCCACAAUGCUCUCUCUCCUCCUUCCCCAUUUCAUUCCCUCACCAUGGCUUUUUUACCCCAUUCCCUGCAUACUUCACUUUCUCACUUUCCUGACUUUCUCUGUCCCUCCCCCCAUGCUCCCUCCUUCCUCCUCUGCCUCCCUUCUUCCCUCCUCUCCUUGGCUCGGUAUCUGAAAUCCCUGCCCAUAGCGACGAAAGGAAAAACAACAACACAACACUGCAGCCCAAGGAGGCCGGAGCACGGGAUUCCUUCCGAGAGAACUCAGAAACCAGGGAAAAGAGGGAAAGCAAACAGAGAGCAGGAAGAAGAAUUGGGUAUUUCGAGGGGGAGGGAUGAGCUGGUAUCUCAGGGAAACGCAGUGGGGUCUGAGAACAACACAGAGGGUGAUCACAGCUCCAACCCAAACACUGCAGAGAAGUUCUGUGUUCUGGGGGAGGAGGCUGCUUUGGGAAGCCUGGCACCCACCGACAGAGCCCCACACACAGCUACCCAAAGGACAGAGAGAACUGUGCAGAUGGGAAGGGAAGAAAAGCAGCGCCUUGCUGCAGGGAGCAGAGGGGCAGUGGAUGUUUGUGCAGCAGAGGAGGGCUGCCUCCCACAGCACGGAGAUUUGCUUUGCCAGAGGAAGCGUUUGGAGGCUCUGGGCCUGGGGCUAAAGGGUUAAUACCCCACAGGAGGGCCCUGGGGAAUCCACUGUAAAUAGGUGUGGUUUUCUGUGUAGUUCCAAGAGGCAUUUUCUCUCUGUACCAGUCUGGACAGGUGAGAAAUCGGAAGAAGUUGGAGCCUGUGCUUCCCACCAGCACAAAGCAGGGCUGUUAGCACAGGCCUGACUGUUUGUUUGCACACUCCAGCCUGGCUGCUUAACUCCGUAGUACCCAUUGCCAGGAAUCGCUGGCAGUCAGCACGGUGGUCCCCCGGGUACAAGCACCUGCCUGUUAAUGGAAAGCCACAGAUUAAUGGUGCAGCACAAGGAGCCUCAGUCAGUUACUCACUGUAGAAAGGAUAAAUUUGGUGAUAAGCAAAAGAGCUCAAUACAGCAAGGACGGGAAAGGCAGCCCUCUUCCUUUCUCCUCCUGAUGACUCUACCUCACGGGCCUGUGCCCCUCUGCCCCUGACCCCAGUAGCACACUUGAGAACAAUCUCCCAGUCUUCAAUUGAUUUUUAAACCUAGCUGGCCCCCAGGAAGUCAGGACUGAAAGAUCGCUGAACUCAGCCACAAGCUGUAAUGCCAUCACUUAUAUAAUCCCUAUCAUAAACAAACCAAGCUCAGUCUUGAAACCAAUUUGGAUUUUGCUCUCACUGUUCCCACUAGAAAGCUGCUCAAAGAUCAUACUGCUAAGAAAGGAAGAAACAUUUUGUUAAUCUCCAGCCUAAAUUUACCCAUUUCUGUUUGCUCUGGCAAUGAAAAACAGCACCCAGGCAGCAAAGCGCUGGAUAAGACAUAAAACUUAGAACAGAAUUCAAACAAAUCAAACUGAAUCACAAAGAAUAAAGCCAAAGAAUGAAAAGUGAACUGUUUGCAAAGCAAUUGACCUUAGAUUUGGAGAUGUUCGCUCCCUGGACCAUUUCAGAUCCUGUGGGCUUCUCAGCCCUCUAGAGCACUCACGUCUCUCUGGUUCCCCAAGUUCUUGUUAGAGACAUGAUCCCACUGGAGCCCAGUACCAACUACUCUUCUGAAAACUGCUUCCAGAAAAAGACAUUUGCAUGAAGAUACAUCCUCAACUCAAUGCCCUCACAUGACCACAGCCAAACUGCAGCCAAAUCCCUGGAGAGCUUCAGGUAAGGAAGGAGAGUGCAGAGCUGCAGAGAGAGCACGAGUGUCCAAAGUGCAACAUACAGAAUAGCAAAAUGAGCCUACAGAGGGCUGAGAGCAUAAGAAAGGAUACUAGAAAGCCCCAGGAAACAGAAAAAUGCAGGUGUCAAACCUUCCUUCUGCCUUUCACUCAUGGUCACCACUGAAAUCAGCAAGAAAAGUUGUUUAUAUUAGGCUUUUAGUCAAGUUCCAUUUACAAGAAGCCAAAAUGAUGAUACUAAACCCAAAGGCACUCCAUAUCCAGCAGAAAUAUGGCUCCCCAACUUACGUUGGUAGAUAGAGCUGAGACAUGAACACAACACUGAAUCAUAGGUUCCUGUCAUCUAACGGUGGAGGAUAAUGGGAAAGAAGACAGAGAUGGGGAAAACCAGCUGCUCCUCUUGCUGGAUUGUGCUGUGAAUCUGUAGGCUCUGUUUGGGAUAAAACAGCACUUAUUUCCAAGGCAACAAAUGGCAGUGUCACAAACAACAGAGGUCCAGGAGCUGCCUGCAGGUUGGAAGCUGAGAGAAAGAAUGUCUUCCCCAGAAGCACAGGCAGAGAUGAGGCAGGCCCCCAUGCUCCAGCUCAGGGCAACAUUCUGCCACUGUCUCUCUAUUCAAGACCUUUUCCCUGCUCCUCCCAUUUACAAGGCAUCUAUACGGACAAAAAAACGUUCUGUUGUGCCUGCAUGAGGUAAAUGCUGACGUUCAAGGGAAGGAUCAUAAAGCUAGCCCUGAGGGUCCUUCAGGGAGAAAACAGAGCUGAAAAGCUAAGACUAAGGCUCAGAGAGACACUGGGCAAGGUAGAAAAUGUCACAUCAGCAUGACUUACUUUACAAUCAUCCAGUGUGGCCAUGCUUCUAGAGCUGCUACAGAAGAUGAAGCGCAGCUGGACCUGGAGGAUACCAAGCUGGAUCAAAGCUGGAGGCAUAAAAUUACAGCAGAAAGAGAAUCCUUCUUCAGGGAAGGAAUGAGGCUGAGCAGGAGAAACAGGAGCAAUAAGCAUGAGAGACACUAAUUUACGUAAGCCACUGAGUGCUACAGAGGGAAUGUCCUGCAGAGCACAAUCAGUUCAGGAGAAAGAUAGAUAAAGAACAGAGCUGGGCUGUUUGCUGGGGUUGGAGGUUAUUUGCUGGGAGCCAAGUGGGCGAGCAAAGUAUACAUGAAUUCACUGCAUGGGACUAAGUUUGGGUGCAACAAAGAGAGGGGAAGUGAGUGGGUAAAGUCAGGGAAGACAAAGUAGGAAGAGAAACUAGGAGUGGGACUCCAAUAGUAGAUAGUAGAAGUAGUAAUCACAGGAAAUAAUAGCUGCAUGGAUUUUGAGAGCUUAGGUGUCUGUUUAAAAAUGCAGACACGGUAUCCAAAACAUUUGAAUAAACUGGCCUGUGUAGCUCCAUCUGCAGAACAGGGAUGUCCUAAGUACCAGGGGAGCUGAGGAUGGGUGUGCAUCUCUCAUGCAGGGGCACAGUUGCAGUUCCUGAGAAAUUCACCCCGUGUCCUUCCAGCAUUCCUGGGACUCAGCUGGAGUGCUGUACCCGUGGUGGGGCUGAGUUCUGUUCCUUGGAACACAGAGCCAAGGAAUGGCACUCUGUGCAGAUAGCACUGGGAGAAGGAACAGUGGGGUGAGAGGGCUGCCCUGAGAGAGUGUUCAAAACCUCUUAGUGGGAAGAAGGACACGCGUAUGGAUGGGCAUGGGAAAUCCUAGAAGCAUCAGAAUGUGAGGGAGAAGGGUGAGGUGCAAAGGAUCCAGAGUUGACUUGUCAAGAUUGUGUAAACAAGAAACUGAGAGAUAAGAGAGGGAAGUGCAGGGCUUGCUGUGGAGAAGCAAAGACAGCUAGCCAGGGAGAAGGUGGGACCAUGCUGAAGGAUUCUCUGAAAGUUAUUAGCGGCACAGCCUCUGAGUGAGAACAGUUAAUAAGUUACAGGAGAGACCUCUAGGCAGAAUCAGGACAGGGCAAACAAAGAUCCCACUGUGUGAGGUUUCAGUGGGGUAACCUACAACUCCCUGAUGAGCCUGACAGUGGAACAAGGGGCAGACGAGAGGAGCAGAGUGGCAUCCCUUGAGACCCUUCAGCGAUCGGCAUGCUCUGCAGUUAGUGGGCUGCCAGGAAGGCCUGUGAGCCAGAGUUGUUGUACAAGCUGGACUGGACAUUCCAGGAACUGGAGAAAACCACAAGAUGCCUUUGUGACGUGGACAAAGUGUGCGUAGAGCGGACUAGUACACGCAGAUGUCUCAGCUUGUUCCAGCUGAUUGGCACCAACUGAUUCCCCCAAAGCCUGGGGCAGAUGUGCUCCAUGUAAAACUAGACUCCUCACUGACAUGAAAAUGUGCGAAAUGGUGAAACCAGUUUUAGCUUGUGGCAGCAAAAGGACAAAUGAGCCCCUUAUGGGCUUUUCCAAAGAGAUGUGGUACCUCCAUUUUAGAGUGGGACAGGUUUCUGCCCUUCCUUCCACUGCUUAGUUCUGCACAAGCACCUUCCUCUGCACUCUGUAACUCCAUUGGGGCUUCUCAUUGACAGGCAGUGAAGAAGGAAGUCUUCCUUUUGAGCAUCGUCAGCCCUGAGUCACCGCUGGCUGGAUUUGUACUCCAGCAAUCCCAAGGAAAUCCGGCCUGAGAGGUGGUUAGAUGCUGCACAGCCUGAGCCUCAGCACCACUGACAAGCCAACAUAAAGCUUGCCUUCAGGAGCCAUGAAGGGAGCUCUGCAGAAUGGACAGUACAGGCACUGUGGCAUCACAGCAGUGAGGGAGCUGAACCGGGAGCUGCGAGGUGAAGGUCCCUGUUUAACAGCUUUCCGUUUGUUUACCGAAAAAAUAUUGUUCCAUCAUAAAAAUUCCCAAAAUA